CCAAUAGCGUAUAUUAAAGUUGUUGCAGUUAAAAAGCUCGUAGUUGAAUUUCGGGGUUAGUAGGUUGGUCAUGCCUCUGGUAUGUACUGGUCUCACUGAUUCCUCCUUCCUGAUGAACCUUAAUGCCAUUAAUUUGGUGUUUUGGGGAAUUUGGACUGUUACUUUGAAAAAAUUAGAGUGUUUAAAGCAAGCUAACGCUUGAAUACAUUAGCAUGGAAUAAUGAAAUAGGACGUUCGAUCCUAUUUUGUUGGUUUCUAGGAUUGACGUAAUGAUUAAUAGGGAUAGUUAGGGGCAUUAGUAUUCAAUUGUCAGAGGUGAAAUUCUUGGAUUUAUUGAAGACUAACUACUGCGAAAGCAUUUGCCAAGGAUGUUUUCAUUAAUCAAGAACGAAAGUUAGGGGAUCGAAGACGAUCAGAUACCGUCGUAGUCUUAACCAUAAACUAUGCCGACUAGGGAUCGGAUGAUGUUAAUUUUUUAAUGACUCAUUCGGCGCCUUACG
rnacentral:rRNA from 1 species